rnacentral:rRNA from 1 species
GGGUUGUGAGGUUAAGCGACUAAGCGUACACGGUGGAUGCCCUGGCAGUCAGAGGCGAUGAAGGACGUGCUAAUCUGCGAAAAGCGUCGGUAAGGUGAUAUGAACCGUUACAGCCGGCGAUGUCCGAAUGGGGAAACCCAGUGUGAUUCGUCACACUAUCGUUAACUGAAUACAUAGGUUAACGAGGCGAACCGGGGGAACUGAAACAUCUAAGUACCCCGAGGAAAAGAAAUCAACCGAGAUUCCCCCAGUAGCGGCGAGCGAACGGGGAGCAGCCCAGAGUCUGAAUCAGCUUGUGUGUUAGUGGAACGGUCUGGAAAGUCCGACGGUACAGGGUGAUAGUCCCGUACACCAAAAUGCACAGGCUGUGAACUCGAAGAGUAGGGCGGGACACGUGGUAUCCUGUCUGAAUAUGGGGGGACCAUCCUCCAAGGCUAAAUACUCCUGACUGACCGAUAGUGAACCAGUACCGUGAGGGAAAGGCGAAAAGAACCCCGGCGAGGGGAGUGAAAAAGAACCUGAAACCGUGUACGUACAAGCAGUGGGAGCACCUUCGGGUGUGACUGCGUACCUUUUGUAUAAUGGGUCAGCGACUUAUAUUCUGUAGCAAGGUUAACCGUAUAGGGGAGCCGCAGGGAAACCGAGUCUUAACUGGGCGUUAAGUUGCAGGGUAUAGACCCGAAACCCGGUGAUCUAGCCAUGGGCAGGUUGAAGGUUGGGUAACACUAACUGGAGGACCGAACCGACUAAUGUUGAAAAAUUAGCGGAUGACUUGUGGCUGGGGGUGAAAGGCCAAUCAAACCGGGAGAUAGCUGGUUCUCCCCGAAAGCUAUUUAGGUAGCGCCUCGUGAAUUCAUCUUCGGGGGUAGAGCACUGUUUCGGCUAGGGGGUCAUCCCGACUUACCAACCCGAUGCAAACUACGAAUACCGAAGAAUGUUAUCACGGGAGACACACGGCGGGUGCUAACGUCCGUCGUGAAGAGGGGAAACAACCCAGACCGCCAGCUAAGGUCCCAAAGUCAUGGUUAAGUGGGAAACGAUGUGGGAAGGCACAGACAGCCAGGAUGUUGGCUUAGAAGCAGCCAUCAUUUAAAGAAAGCGUAAUAGCUCACUGGUCGAGUCGGCCUGCGCGGAAGAUGUAACGGGGCUAAACCAUGCACCGAAGCUGCGGCAGCGACACUAUGUGUUGUUGGGUAGGGGAGCGUUCUGUAAGCCUGCGAAGGUGACCUGUGAGGGUUGCUGGAGGUAUCAGAAGUGCGAAUGCUGACAUAAGUAACGAUAAAGCGGGUGAAAAGCCCGCUCGCCGGAAGACCAAGGGUUCCUGUCCAACGUUAAUCGGGGCAGGGUGAGUCGACCCCUAAGGCGAGGCCGAAAGGCGUAGUCGAUGGGAAACAGGUUAAUAUUCCUGUACUUGGUGUUACUGCGAAGGGGGGACGGAGAAGGCUAUGUUAGCCGGGCGACGGUUGUCCCGGUUUAAGCAUGUAGGCUGGUUGUCCAGGCAAAUCCGGAUAAUCAAGGCUGAGGUGUGAUGACGAGGCACUACGGUGCUGAAGUAACAAAUGCCCUGCUUCCAGGAAAAGCCUCUAAGCAUCAGGUAACAUCAAAUCGUACCCCAAACCGACACAGGUGGUCAGGUAGAGAAUACCAAGGCGCUUGAGAGAACUCGGGUGAAGGAACUAGGCAAAAUGGUGCCGUAACUUCGGGAGAAGGCACGCUGGUGUGUAGGUGAAGUCCCUGCGGAUGGAGCUGAGACCAGUCGAAGAUACCAGCUGGCUGCAACUGUUUAUUAAAAACACAGCACUGUGCAAACACGAAAGUGGACGUAUACGGUGUGACGCCUGCCCGGUGCCGGAAGGUUAAUUGAUGGGGUUAUCCGUAAGGAGAAGCUCUUGAUCGAAGCCCCGGUAAACGGCGGCCGUAACUAUAACGGUCCUAAGGUAGCGAAAUUCCUUGUCGGGUAAGUUCCGACCUGCACGAAUGGCGUAAUGAUGGCCAGGCUGUCUCCACCCGAGACUCAGUGAAAUUGAACUCGCUGUGAAGAUGCAGUGUACCCGCGGCAAGACGGAAAGACCCCGUGAACCUUUACUAUAGCUUGACACUGAACAUUGAGCCUUGAUGUGUAGGAUAGGUGGGAGGCUUUGAAGCGUGGACGCCAGUCUGCGUGGAGCCAACCUUGAAAUACCACCCUUUAAUGUUUGAUGUUCUAACGUUGGCCCCUUACCGGGGUUGCGGACAGUGUCUGGUGGGUAGUUUGACUGGGGCGGUCUCCUCCCAAAGCGUAACGGAGGAGCACGAAGGUUAGCUAAUCCUGGUCGGACAUCAGGAGGUUAGUGCAAUGGCAUAAGCUAGCUUGACUGCGAGCGUGACGGCGCGAGCAGGUGCGAAAGCAGGUCAUAGUGAUCCGGUGGUUCUGAAUGGAAGGGCCAUCGCUCAACGGAUAAAAGGUACUCCGGGGAUAACAGGCUGAUACCGCCCAAGAGUUCAUAUCGACGGCGGUGUUUGGCACCUCGAUGUCGGCUCAUCACAUCCUGGGGCUGAAGUAGGUCCCAAGGGUAUGGCUGUUCGCCAUUUAAAGUGGUACGCGAGCUGGGUUUAGAACGUCGUGAGACAGUUCGGUCCCUAUCUGCCGUGGGCGCUGGAGAAUUGAGGGGGGCUGCUCCUAGUACGAGAGGACCGGAGUGGACGCAUCACUGGUGUUCGGGUUGUCAUGCCAAUGGCACUGCCCGGUAGCUAAAUGCGGAAGAGAUAAGUGCUGAAAGCAUCUAAGCACGAAACUUGCCCCGAGAUGAGUUCUCCCUGAGACUUUAAGUCUCCUGAAGGAACGUUAAAGACGAUGACGUUGAUAGGCCGGGUGUGUAAGCGCAGCGAUGCGUUGAGCUAACCGGUACUAAUGAACCGUGAGGCUUAACCUUACAACGCCGAAG